AGGAUGAGGUGCUGCUGGCCGAGAGCAAUCAUGUGAGCUUCGUGUACGAAGAGAACGAGUGCUCCCUGGUGGUGCUCAGUGCAGGAAGCCAGGAUGGAGGCGUCUAUACCUGUACGGCCCGGAACCUGGCAGGCGAAGUCUCCUGCAAGGCAGAGCUGUCUGUGCACUCAGCUCAGACAGCCAUGGAGGUCGAAGGGGUCGGAGAGGAUGAGGAGCACCGAGGAAGAAGACUUAGCGACUACUAUGACAUCCACCAAGAGAUCGGCAGAGGUGCCUUCUCCUACCUGCGGCGGGUAGUGGAGCGGAGCUCUGGCCUGGAGUUUGCAGCCAAGUUCAUCCCUAGUCAGGCCAAGCCUAAAGCAUCAGCGAGACGCGAGGCCCGGUUGCUGGCCCGACUCCAGCAUGACUGUGUGCUCUACUUCCACGAAGCCUUCGAAAGGCGCAGGGGACUUGUCAUAGUCACCGAGCUGUAUCCUGGGUCGAGAUGGGGGUGAAAGACUGUUCUUUGUAAAGGCGAAUUUGGAGUGC
rnacentral:lncRNA from 1 species